rnacentral:rRNA from 1 species
UACAGAGGUCUCAAGCGUUGUUCGGAUUCAUUGGGCGUAAAGGGUGCGUAGGCGGCGCGGUAAGUCGGGUGUGAAAUCUUGGAGCUUAACUCCGAAACUGCAUUCGAUACUGGCGUGCUUGAGGACUGGAGAGGAGACUGGAAUUCAUGGUGUAGCGGUGGAAUGCGCAGAUAUCAGGAGGAACACCGGUGGCGAAGGCGGGUCUCUGGGCAGUAACUGACGCUGAGGAGCGAAAGCGUGGGGAGCGAACAGG